AUGACGGGGAUCCGUGCCCCUGCGCCAUCGCCGGUUCCGAAGACGGUGCCUCCUCCAGAGAGCAAGUGGAUGCACGAGCGGGGCGGCGUUUCCGAUGGACUCGAGACGGAGGGAACGAAGGGGGAAGCGGAGGCCAAGCAACCGCGCGGGUCUGGCAUCUCAGAAGCAGUAAGUAGAGAUCCCCUUGCUGAUGGGAGUUCCCAACCUAGAUUUCAGCAAUCACCAGACAAGAGCUCUCCUGACGAUCACAUUCAACAUAGGAAGGCUCAGGCAGAUGAUUCACCCUCGUUGGCUGCUUAG
rnacentral:rRNA from 1 species